rnacentral:lncRNA from 1 species
AGGUCCAUGCAUGUGAGCCAAUGGGGAUGUGGGGCAAGAUGAAGACAGACCUGAGCUUCGGGGACAGGAGCAGUGGCCUAUCAUCUCUCCUUGGUGUCUCUGCUAUUGAAAACACUUGUCCUGAAGAUGGGGACCACCUGAAGAGAUGCCUAGGGAACAGACCCCCCUUAAAAUUUGACAAGGAUAUAUCCUGGGACCUAGGUCCAGCUGUAUUCGAGCUUGGAGAUUCAGACUCAGGCUCCCACGCUUGUGUGGCAAGUGCCAUAUCUGCUGAGCUCUUCUAUCUCUCUGAUUCUCUGGAGAUCUAAUGAAUCCAGGUGGGAGGCUUGCCUGCCUGGCUCGGGUGAAAUCUUGGAUGGACAGGGGGAGACCAGCCCCUUGUGACCCCAGGCACACACAGCCCUGCUAAUCCGUUUCAUCUCAGGCCCCCUGUCCAGGCCCUCAACUGACAUCUUGCUCCCAACUACACUCAGCUUUGCUUCCUUGACCUGCCUUACCUGGCUCCUUAGCGCUGACCUGCACCCC